CUUGCAAUUACAAAUGACUUUAUGGACAGCAACAGAUUGCAUAAGUUACUGAACGCUCUCCCUGCAUUUAAACAUUAACCUUGAAUGAGAACACCGUGAUUAAAAGAAGUCCCUGUUAUUGCAGAACGCCCGGAAGGGACGAGACUAGACAACUUAGUAAUAACGGGCAGAGUAAGGGAAAAGAGUUUGGCAAGUCUGAACAAGGGAGCUAGAAGCUGAAUUUUCCUCACUCAGUUCCACUCAAGUAGUUCAACGCUAUCGUUUUCCCAAUAAAAACUGCCAACAGGCUUGCAGUGAGACAUGGAUAGUAAUGGGGAUCCCAGUUCUGAGUGUCCAAAAGCAAGUGAAGCCCACUGAGGAAAUGGAUGGCUGCAGGGCAACAACUGCUCCUGAACCUAGUGGUGUGGGACCCAAGACUUCAGCACCUCCAACAUGAUGGUAACCAGAGAACAAAGGGAGACUAAUCAAAUGCAGGUAGAUAGUACUGAAUACCUAGUUGUUUUCCACUC